CAGCAGCCGCGGGAAUACGAAGGUCCCAAGCGUUGUUCGGAAUCACUGGGCGUAAAGGGAGCGUAGGCGGCGUGGUAAGUCAGAUGUGAAAUCCCGGGGCUCAACCCCGGAACUGCAUCCGAUACUGCCAUGCUUGAGGGUUGGAGAGGUGACUGGAAUUAUCGGUGUAGCAGUGAAAUGCGUGGAUAUCGAUAGGAACACUCGUGGCGAAGGCGAGUCACUGGACAACAUCUGACGCUGAGGCUCGAAGGCUAGGGUAGCGAAAGGGAUUAGAUACCCCGGUAGUCCCUGUCUCUUAUAC
rnacentral:rRNA from 1 species